rnacentral:rRNA from 1 species
CCUACGGGUGGCAGCAGUGGGGAAUAUUGGGCAAUGGGGGAAACCCUGACCCAGCAACGCCGCGUGAAGGAAGAAGGCUUUCGGGUUGUAAACUUCUUUUACCAGGGACGAAGAAAGUGACGGUACCUGGAGAAAAAGCUUCGGCGAACUACGGGCCUGCAGCCGCGGUAAUACGGAGGGAGCGAGCGUUGUCCGGAUUUACUGGGUGUAAAGGGCGUGUAGGCGGAGCUGCAAGUCAGAAGGGAAAUCUCCGGGCACAACCCGGAGACUGCCGUUGAAACGGGAGGCGUUGAGUAUUGGAGAGGCAGGCGGAAUGCCGAGUGUAGCGGUGAAAUGCGUAGAUAUUAGGAGGAACUCCAGUGGCGAAGGCGGCCUGCUGGACGACAACUGACGCUGAGGCGCGAAAGCGUGGGGAGCAAACAGGAUUAGAUACCCGAGUAGUC